rnacentral:rRNA from 1 species
UUGGAGGGCAAGUCUGGUGCCAGCAGCCGCGGUAAUUCCAGCUCCAAUAGCGUAUAUUAAAGUUGUUGCAGUUAAAAAGCUCGUAGUUGAAUUUCGGGAUUGACACAUCGGUCGUGCCUUAAGGGGUAUGAACUGGUGUAGUCAGUUUCUCACCUUCUGGAGAACCGCGAUGUCCUUAAUUGGGUGCCGCGAGGAACCAGGACCUUUACUUUGAAAAAAUUAGAGUGUUUAAAGCAGGCAUUUUGCUUGAAUACAUUAGCAUGGAAUAAUAAGAUAGGACGGAUGGUUCUGUUUUGUUGGUUUCUAGGAUCACCGUAAUGAUUAAUAGGGAUAGUUGGGGGCAUUAGUGUUCAAUUGUCAGAGGUGAAAUUCUUGGAUUUAUUGAAGACUAACUACUGCGAAAGCAUUUGCCAAGGAUGUUUUCAUUAAUCAAGAAUGAAAGUUAGGGGAUCGAAGACGAUCAGAUACCGUCGUAGUCUUAACCAUAAACUAUGCCGACUAGGAAUCAGACGAUGUUAAUUUUUUAAUGACUCGUUUGGCACCUUACGGGAAACCAAAGUGUUUGGGUUC